GAUUCCAGACAAAGUACGACAGCGAAUUAACGUAUAGCAAGAAACAGUAAGAAGCGUAUGAAAGAAUUAAAAAAAAAACCAAAAUCAAAAAGAGGUUUAACAAGUUUUGAGUUUAUCUACUUGAGGCAGGGAACCAAUUCGGGUUUUAGCCGUUUUGUGGGAGUUCAUUGAACGCCAAGAACUUUGAUCGGUCUUCAUAUCCUCGUUUUGCUUUCACGAUGGAACAACUGAGAAUGCGCAUUAUUUUUGUUGUUGAUCAAUUAAUAAGUGUUUUACUAACUUACAUUAACAUUACAAGCUUUUUCCGUUAUUUUUUACGUUUUUAGACAUUUCUAUUAGCAUUUCAACGACAGUACAUUUUCCCUCAGGGCGCGGCAACGAUCUAAUGUCACACAUUUAUAAAAAAUCUAGCAAUGCCAUGCUAUCACUUACUCAGUUGCUGAAGGUGGUAACAUCCGAUAAUAUGCACACAACCUUUCACAAGAGUGAUCACUAUAAAACUGGAAUGCUACGAGGAGAGCGAAGCAUUAUUGAAGCGGAGAGUUCUAUGUAUCUUUCUUGCACAGCUACUCACACAGCUACUAGUGUCCUAUCCUAAUUGUGUGUUUCCGGCCAACAACUACAGCAGGCGAGAGGCGAAUACAUAUGUGACGGGACUCUUGCCAACGGCUUUUAUCAUCAAGUCCCUUAUAUUGACGAAUCAAGAACUAAGAAAAGAGACGCCUUAUAUGAUGAUCACAUUAAAUAUUUUUUACCGAAAUAGAAGAUAAUGUAUCGAAUUAAUGCACAUUUUAUUUUUGAUGUUUCAUGCAUAUAAUAUGAAUUUAUAAUUUAAAUUUAUGUCUGCCCAAUUUCUAUGGGUAUACCAAAAACAUUUUUUUUUUGACAAUAUAAGGUAUAUAUAUUCUGGAUCAGGAUAAAUAGCCGAGUCGAUCUGACCCUGUCCGUAUUUAUUCAUAGACGCAUUACCUACUAUAUGGAGAGCGCGUAUAUUUUCCUAUUAAAGCAUGUUAUACUUAUACUUCAAUCCCAUGAAAGACUUUUACAUCCAAAUAUACAGAAAAUGGCAAAAUUA